GGCGGGACGCGGUGCGGGGCCUCAUCCUUGGGGCCGACGGCCUGGUGAGGCGAGGCCCUCCGUUGCUCACCUGCCCUUCUGGGAGACGAUACUCCUCCGCGGCCCAGUCCCAGCCGCGGGGGUGCUCACUGGAGAGGGUGGCUGGUCCGAUCGCGUUCCGUGACGUCACGGCAGCUCAGCCAAUGGCCGCAGAGGGAUGGGGUUGGCGCGCUGGAGAAUCGAGGCAGCUUCUGCUGGGUUAAGGGCUUCUCUGGGAGACUGCAGGGACACCUCAGCCCCCGGCCCCCCCAUGUAAGACAUCCUCCGGGUCUGAAUGCACCCCUUCUGCCAGGCUUGCCCUCUUUGGUGGAGAAAGAUUGAGGAGGACUGCUAGAAACUAGAGCAAGAAGUGGGUACAGCUGGGCUGGCAAGCCAUCUGGGUGCCCCUUCUCCCUGACAAGAAGAGGAGGAGCCAAGGACUUUCAGAACCCAGCAGCUGCAUUAGGUAUCCAGGAAUAUCCCAGCACUUCAGUCCAAACCAAUGUGCCAAGCCUGCACCCUGGUACACCUCUGGCACCAGAACAAUCCUUGGGUCGUACUUUGCUGUGUGUGACCGAAGGGAGCCAGAAUGUCAUGCAACACAGCAGCCUCUGACCUCAGAAGGAGAACAUCAGCCUUGGUCUGCAAGAAAAGCAAGGAAACGGACUCUGAAAGAAGGGCUGUUGGGGAGGACUGCAAAAACCUUGGCCAGAUAACUCCUGCUGUGCUGCUGGAGAGCAGAGGCAGAAUUCUGUGCUUAUGCACACAAGCUUAAAGGAGCCCCCAAGGCUUGGACGCAAAGAAUGAUUUCUGCGGAUCAUUUGUGUUUUGCCAAGAAACAAUGAGAAAUAAUGCCAAGCCCCAACUGUGACACUGAAUGGCCUCAUAAAUUCACAGUGAAAUGUACAGCCUUGGACUCUGGAGAUGGCUGAGCUACAUAGUUGAACUGCUACAUCCACAGGUCAGCUCCAACAAAGAGGACUCUUCCUUCCAUCAUCAGCCUUUGAGUCUGUGUGGUGUUCCUCACUUGAUUUGUUGUUUAGCCCAGGCUGCAAGUUUCUUAUACUGUGAUUCUGAAACAAGAACUCCAGUCAACUAUGAAGUGAAGUCAGCAGAACCCAGGACAGUUCAGAGUCCAGCCUGAAGAACAGCACUUUGAAGUUAGCCAACUGAUUCAAAUAUUGACUGCUGUAUCCACCUCUCUAAAUAAGGAACCACAGCUUUAUGACUUCCAAACCUUCUUCAUUAGUUUCUGGCAGAGAUCAAGACUGCACCUAGAGACUGCUCCACAAGGCUGGAAUGUUAAACUCCAAGCCAGUGGCUGGCAUUUUGAUAUUUCUCAUAAAACAGAAUGGGAUAUAAACCUUAUUACAGUGAUGGAAAAUUUCUAGCCCACCAAAUGUGGCUGAACUGCAGUUCCCAGCCCUUAUUCUAUUACCCACUGGAGGACCACAGGUUCCCAAUAUCUCAUUCAGACUGUUACGUGGAGGUAAGCUAAACAAAAGAUACUUCCCCUGCAGAGUUUGCACCUGGACCUCUGUUGGUCCUGUCCUAGCCUAACAUUAGCUACCUGGAUUCCUGCUGAUGGUGCACAUCCCAUAUUAGUCUCCUCCAGGGUCUGAGGCCAUAUGUAAACCAGUACUUCUCAAAGUUCAUAAUUUGCUUCUUAGCAGACUUACCUCAAUUACAGCUGCCUCAAUUCCCCAUGUCCCUACUCCUAGUCUCCCUAAGACUAUCUUGCCACUUGUUCUUGGCCCUAAUUCCCACAUUCAUCUGCCAAGUUGUUCUGACUCUGGCUGCCUUCUGGUGCCAUACUGCAAUACUGCUUCCAUCAGUAUCCCAGAAAGCUUUCUCAGGAAAAUAUUCUGCUUGCAGGUAUACUUCCUUGGGGCAGCAGCUCUGGGCUGAAGAUUAAGAUGCAAACCAUGCUUGACCCCAUCAGAGGAGCUGAUGCUGGAGCUCCAGGCUAAAAUAUCUGCUGCUUGCUGAGGAUUCAAGGUUCAAUUCACAUCAUCUCUAGUUGGAAAGAUGUGGGGGAGUAGUUGAUGGAAGAUUUGCUGGCUGUCAGAAGAGAUACUGGGGAAGGCAGACUCAGGCUUUGAUGCAGUUCAAGGCAACUUCUUUUGAAACACUUGCCUUGGAUUGCAGCUGACCAUUUUGUUCUAGAUGGCAAUCAGAGUUGGCAAUCUGAGCUUCCAGAACCAGAUGUGACCCCUUGAGCACCUCCCAACCACAGUUGCCAAUUAUCAGCAUCAUUGUUUCCUGCCAUCUGGAGGAGGAAACAUACAAAAACUGUAGUG